rnacentral:rRNA from 1 species
GAGGAACGCUGGCGGCGCGCCUAACACAUGCAAGUCGAACGAGCGAGAGAGAGCUUGCUUUUUAAGCUUAGUGGCGAACGGGUGAGUAACGCGUGAGUAACCUGCCCUAGAGUGGGGGACAACAGUUGGAAACGACUGCUAAUACCGCAUAAGCCCACGGUAUCGCAUGGUACUGAGGGAAAAGGAUUUAUUCGCUUUAGGAUGGACUCGCGUCCAAUUAGCUAGUUGGUGAGGUAACGGCCCACCAAGGCGACGAUUGGUAGCCGGACUGAGAGGUUGAACGGCCACAUUGGGACUGAGACACGGCCCAGACUCCUACGGGAGGCAGCAGUGGGGGAUAUUGCACAAUGGGGGAAACCCUGAUGCAGCGACGCCGCGUGGAGGAAGAAGGUUUUCGGAUUGUAAACUCCUGUCGUUAGGGACGAUAAUGACGGUACCUAACAAGAAAGCACCGGCUAACUACGUGCCAGCAGCCGCGGUAAAACGUAGGGUGCAAGCGUUGUCCGGAAUUACUGGGUGUAAAGGGAGCGCAGGCGGGAAGACAAGUUGGAAGUGAAAACCAUGGGCUCAACCCAUGAAUUGCUUUCAAAACUGUUUUUCUUGAGUAGUGCAGAGGUAGAUGGAAUUCCCGGUGUAGCGGUGGAAUGCGUAGAUAUCGGGAGGAACACCAGUGGCGAAGGCGGUCUACUGGGCACCAACUGACGCUGAGGCUCGAAAGCAUGGGUAGCAAACAGGAUUAGAUACCCUGGUAGUCCAUGCCGUAAA